rnacentral:rRNA from 1 species
AUUGAACGCUGGCGGCAGGCCUAACACAUGCAAGUCGAGCGCGCGGCGCACGGGUGAGAAAUGUCUGGGAAAAUGCCCGAUGGAGGGGGAUAACUACUCGAAAAGGUAUCGAAUAUCGCAUACCAUCAGAUGUGCGCAGAUGGGAUUAGCUCGUAGGUGGGGUAACGGCUCACCUAGGCGACGCUCCCUAGCUGGUCUGAGAGGAUGACCAGCCACACUGGAACUGAGACACGGUCCAGACUCCUACGGGAGGCAGCAGUGGGGAAUAUUGCACAAUGGGCGCAAGCCUGAUGCAGCCAUGCCGCGUGUGUGAAGAAGGCCUUCGGGUUGUAAAGCACUUUCAGCGGGGAGGCGUUACCCGCAGAAGAAGCACCGGCUAACUCCGUGCCAGCAGCCGCGGUAAUUC